rnacentral:lncRNA from 1 species
AAUCUAGAUAGAAGUUAGCUAAGGAGAGAGAUUAUAAAACCUGGGUAACUUCCAAAGGUACAAGACCAUGGGCAGUUGAGUAUUAUUAUGGAUGUUUAUUUCAACAGCUAUAUCUUGCUCCAGGUAGGCUCAUUUGCCUUUUAGGAUCUGAAUUUUUAUCCACUGGAAGCAUUUAUUGUGUCUAAGCUCCAGAGAGGGUGGUCUUCAGUGUAUUCCUGAUAAUAAAAGUAUCUCCUGCUGGCUGCCUACCUUGGACUGCUGCUGAGCACAGUGGAGCCGUCUCUAAGUGUUACCUCCAAAAGGCUUGUGGCACUCAAACGUGCAGUGCCAUGUGUCCCCAAGGAUCAUCACUUCAGCCAUAUGCAGUGAGACUGCUACAGGGACAGCCGUACUGCAGCAUGGCCUUGCCUCCUGCUUCAGGCCAUCUGUGAGAGAUGGCAGAGGUGGGUUUGUGUUUGCUUGGGAU